UACGUAGGGGGCGAGCGUUGUCUGGAGUUACUGGGCGUAAAGCGCACGCAGGCGGUCUGUGAAGUUUGGAGUGACAGUUGGUGGCUCAACCACCAAAGUGCUUUGAAAACUGAUAGACUUGAGGGCUUCAGAGGGACACGGAAUUCCGGGUGGAGUGGUGAAAUGCGUAGAGAUCCGGAGGAACACCAAAGGCGAAGGCAGUGUCCUGGGGAGUACCUGACGCUCAGGUGCGAAAGCCAGGGGAGCGAACGGG
rnacentral:rRNA from 1 species